UAUCAGAAAGGCAAAGGAAACACGUGUGGAGGAGCAUUUUGUUCUCGUAUUUUAAAUACCCAAGAGCAGAAGUACUAUGCCUUUGCGUUUUGAGAGUGCUGUGCCUAUAAUCAGCUUUUCUUGCUUUCUUACUUAUAGACGAUCUUUCCUAGGCCAGGGCUUGUUGGCUUUGCCUCUGCAGAGCACCAAAGCCUUUGGUCCUGGGGUAACAUGUGGUGGGAACAGAGCAAGAGGCUGCUGGGUUAGGUGUUCCUCCGUGAUGGGGGAUCUCUGGCGGGACACAGCUCAGUCACCUGCACUUGAGCCUGCAGGCAAGUUCUCCCAUGGGUGUCAGGAGGGUGGGGAGCAGAUCCUCCGCUGCACUUGCAGCAUCCAGUGGGCACCUUCCUGUCCUGUCCUCAUGUUCCUGAUCAAAACGGUGCUCCCAGGGCUGGUGGCAGAGACAACAUUUCCACUCUGCCCCUCCACGUGCUCACGGAUCCUUGUGUAGAAGUCACGUGGUAGCACAUCCAAGAGCAUGUUUCUCUUUCCCUGCCCACAUUCCACCUGGUGCCUGCUUUCUUGGGACACUCGCACUUGCCCAGGUGACUCCAUGGCUUCAAGGAUGGUAGAAGGCUGUGGGAAGAGCUGCUAGGCUGUAGCACACCUGCUCUCAUGGCCCGCUGACCUGGCUUCAGGUGCCCAGGCCCAGGACAGAGCCUGGGGCAGCAGGGCAGGGGGCUACUGGUCCUCUCAGAUCCCGGUGUUCUGGCUGCACAGUCCCGCCCUGCCCAAGACCCCAGCCAUACCCCCCAUCCUGUAACCUUCCCUCAGGCCUCCAGAGGCCCCUCCCUGCGGGUCUUUUUGGGGUCCAGAGCCAAUCCUGGUGGGUUCCCUGUGCCUGCACCACCACGUUGUUCUUCUCACACAGAUUAGGGGUAUGUUGACAAGUUCCUUUACCUCCAAUCUUGUCUUUCAUUUUCAGAAAAUGUUUGGAGUUGUGACGUUUAAAUGUCCAUCAAGAACCUAGGGUCAUUCCAGACACAAGGCAGUCACUAGAUAUGUGGGGUCUCCCACAGGCCCAGCACACCCCGCAGGCGCUCCCCAUGUGGGAUGAACUGGAGAAGGUGGGGUACAUCGCCCAGCUUCCUCCAGUGUGACCUCAUUCUACAACAAUAUGGCCUGUGGAGGCUGACAAGGAGCAAGGAAAUGAACGCUAAUCAGCAGAGGCCUUCCUGUCAUUACCGUGCGACAUUAUUUUGAGUAUGUGGAGGACUCCGAUGAAUAGAUCGACAAUCUGCUUGUAAUUUCUCUCUUCUUUUGUGAUGCUCUUCCUGAAGGACCUGGUCUCAUCAAGGCAGAUGAGGUCCUUGGGUCAUCAAUGUCUAUAAAAUCUCUCCAGCCCUGAUCACACAUUUUCUUAGCAUUGACCUUGUUUCUGACCACCAGUCUACAGUGAGACACUAAAAUUACAAAUGAUCCACAGGUAUCACAUGUAAGAAUAGGUCCCUCGAUCAGCAGCAAUCAACCCAAGGACCAACCCAGUAUCAACAGUUUUCAGCCCAGGAGAGCUUCCAUGUCGGUCUCCGUUCCCAACUUAAGACCAACAAGAGAAAGCCAAAUAUAUACCCCUGACAACAACAGAGGACGCCCUGCACCUGGACUGCUCACUACAGCUUCCCCCCGCCCAUGGCCUCCAAUCAGA